UACAGAGGGUGCAAGCGUUGUUCGGAAUUAUUGGGCGUAAAGGGCGCGUAGGCGGCGCAUCAAGUCAGGCGUGAAAGCCCUGGGCUCAACCCGGGAAUUGCGCUUGAGACUGGUGUGCUUGAGUACGGGAGAGGAUAGUGGAAUUCCCAGUGUAGAGGUGAAAUUCGUAGAUAUUGGGAAGAACACCAGUGGCGAAGGCGGCUAUCUGGACCGUAACUGACGCUGAGGCGCGAAAGCGUGGGGAGCAAACAGG
rnacentral:rRNA from 1 species